rnacentral:rRNA from 1 species
AGAGUUUGAUCAUGGCUCAGAUUGAACGCUGGCGGCAUGCCUUACACAUGCAAGUCGAACGGCAGCGCGGGAGCAAUCCUGGCGGCGAGUGGCGAACGGGUGAGUAAUAUAUCGGAACGUGCCUUAGAGUGGGGGAUAACUAGUCGAAAGACUAGCUAAUACCGCAUACGACCUACGGGUGAAAGUGGGGGAUCGCAAGACCUCAUGCUCUUAGAACGGCCGAUAUCUGAUUAGCUAGUUGGUGGGGUAAAAGCCUACCAAGGCGACGAUCAGUAGCUGGUCUGAGAGGACGACCAGCCACACUGGGACUGAGACACGGCCCAGACUCCUACGGGAGGCAGCAGUGGGGAAUUUUGGACAAUGGGGGCAACCCUGAUCCAGCAAUGCCGCGCGUGU